AAAAAGCGGAGGAAAAGAAACCAACAGGGAUUGCCUCAGUAACGGCGAGUGAAGCGGCAAAAGCUCAAAUUUGAAAUCUAGCACCUUCGGUGUUUGAGUUGUAAUUUGAAGAUGGUAACCUUGGGUUUGGCUCUUGUCUAUGUUCCUUGGAACAGGACGUCAUAGAGGGUGAGAAUCCCGUCUGAUGAGAUGCCCAUUCCUAUGUAAGGUGCUAUCGAAGAGUCGAGUUGUUUGGGAAUGCAGCUCUAAGUGGGUGGUAAAUUCCAUCUAAAGCUAAAUAUUGGCGAGAGACCGAUAGCGAACAAGUACAGUGAUGGAAAGAUGAAAAGAACUUUGAAAAGAGAGUGAAAAAGUACGUGAAAUUGUUGAAAGGGAAGGGCAUUAGAUCAGACUUGGUGUUUUACGAUUAUCUUCUCUUCUUGAGUUGUGCACUCGUAUUUCACUGGGCCAGCAUCGAUUCGGAUGGCAAGAUAAUGGCAGUUGAAUGUGGCUUCACUUCGGUGGAGUGUUAUAGCUUCUGCUGAUAUUGCCUGUCUGGAUCGAGGGCUGCGUCUUUGACUAGGAUGCUGCGUAGUAGGGAGUU
rnacentral:rRNA from 1 species